CCCUUAGAUGUUCUGGGCCGCACGCGCGCUACACUGAUGCAUUCAACGAGUUUCUUCCUGGUCCGAGAGGAAUGGGUAACCUUUUGAAAGUGCAUCGUGAUAGGGAUAGACUAUUGCAAUUAUUGGUCUUCAACGAGGAAUUCCUAGUAGACGUAGUUCAUCAGACUGCAUCGAUUACGUCCCUGCCCUUUGUACACACCGCCCGUCGCUCCUACCGAUUGAAUGCUCAGGUGAGCCAUUCGGACUUUCAUCAUGCUGGUUGCCAGUUUUGAUGAAGGAAAGUCUUGCGAACCUUAUCAUUUAGAGGAAGGAGAAGUCGUAACA
rnacentral:rRNA from 1 species